CCUACGGGUGGCAGCAGUGGGGAAUAUUGGGCAAUGGAGGAAACUCUGACCCAGCAAUGCCGCGUGAAUGAAGAAGGUCUUCGGAUUGUAAAGUUCUUUAGUCAGGGAAGAAGAAAAUGACGGUACCUGAAGAAUAAGCUACGGCUAACUACGUGCCAGCAGCCGCGGUAAUACGUAGGGAGCAAGCGUUGUUCGGAAUGACUGGGCGUAAAGGGUGCGUAGGCGGUUAUCCAAGUUAGAAGUGAAAUACCCCGGGCUUAACUCGGGUGCUGCUGCUCAAACUGUAAGACUUGAGUGCAGUAGAGGUUAGUGGAAUUCCUCGUGUAGCGGUGUAAUUCGUAGAUAUUAGGAGGAACCCCAGCGGCGAAGGCGGCUCACUGGACUGCAACUGACGCUGAGGCACGAAAGUGUGGGGAGCAAACAGGAUUAGAUACCCUAGUAGUC
rnacentral:rRNA from 1 species